UUGAACGCUGGCGGUAUGCUUAACACAUGCAAGUCGAACGGUAGCAGGCCUUCGGGCGCUGACGAGUGGCGGACGGGUGAGUAACGCGUAGGAAUCUGCCUCAUAGUGGGGGACAACGUGGGGAAACCCACGCUAAUACCGCAUACGCCCUACGGGGGAAAGCGGGGGCUCUUCGGACCUCGCGCUAUGAGAUGAGCCUGCGUUAGAUUAGCUAGUUGGUAGGGUAAAGGCCUACCAAGGCGACGAUCUAUAGCUGGUCUGAGAGGACGAUCAGCCACACUGGGACUGAGACACGGCCCAGACUCCUACGGGAGGCAGCAGUGGGGAAUAUUGGACAAUGGGCGGAAGCCUGAUCCAGCAAUACCGCGUGUGUGAAGAAGGCCUUAGGGUUGUAAAGCACUUUCAAUUGGGAGGAAAACCUGCCGGUCAAUACCCGGUAGCUUGACAUUACCUUUAGAAGAAGCACCGGCUAACUCCGU
rnacentral:rRNA from 1 species